GCUGUAAGCCGAGUGCAUCUUAGCUGGCCAUGGCGACCCCGGCACAGCGGCUGCACCUUCUCCCUCUGUUGCUGCUGCUUUGUGGUGAGUGUGCCCAAGUAUGCGGUUGCAAUGAGACAGGAAUGCUGGAGAGGUUGCCUCGCUGUGGGAAAGCCUUUGCCGAAAUGAUGCAGAAGGUGGACGUCUGGAAGUGGUGCAACCUGUCGGAGUUCAUCGUGUGAGUGCCCAGCCAUUGUGCCGUGAGCCUGUGCCUGUCCCUGUCGCUUGACCCCUCCCGUACUUCUGCUCACUGUCCUGGACACACUCACCCACAGCCUUCCCAGAGUCCCCAGCUCUGCCUACUGCUCUGGGCCGCGGGGUCUCCUGGCGUCUGUUUGGCGUAGACACAUGUAGCUGUGAGAACAACUGUGGGUAGUGUUUCUGGGUAGUUCAGUGGAAAGGUCUUGGAAACAUGGGGGUCACGUCACAUGCUUCUCAACACUCAUGGAGAUGAAGGGGCCUUUGAGGCAAACGGUUUUUCUGGGGUCUUUAUGACUCUCUGUCCCAGAUGCCCUGAGAACCUGGUCGUCUCCAGGGCUGUAUCAAUAUUGAAGUUCAGAGUGGGCUCU
rnacentral:lncRNA from 1 species